CCUACGGGUGGCAGCAGUGAGGAAUCUUGGUCAAUGGGCGCGAGCCUGAACCAGCCAAGUAGCGUGAAGGAUGACUGCCCUACGGGUUGUAAACUUCUUUUAUAAAGGAAUAAAGUGAGGCACGUGUGCCUUUUUGUAUGUACUUUAUGAAUAAGGAUCGGCUAACUCCGUGACAGCAGCCGCGGUAAUACGGAGGAUCCGAGCGUUAGCCGGAUUUAUUGGGUUUAAAGGGAGCGUAGAUGGGUUGUUAAGUCAGUUGUGAAAGUUUGCGGCUCAACCGGAAAAUUGCAAUUGAUACUGGAAGUCUAGAGUACAGUUGAGGUAGGCGGAAUUCGUGGUGUAGCGGUGAAAUGCUUAGAUAUCACGAAGAACUCCGAUUGCGAAGGCAGCUUACUAAACUGCAACUGACAUUGAUGCUCGAAAGUGUGGGGAUCAAACAGGAUUAGAUACCCCUGUAGUC
rnacentral:rRNA from 1 species